CACUGCGCCACCAGGGAAGCCCUGGCCUCUUAUUUUGAGGGUAUUGGUCAAAGCUCCUUUGAGGAACUGAUGAAAGCCAUGAACCCUCUCAACUAAAUACAACAACAGAAACACAGAAUUUUUAUGUCUUCAAAUUGCUUUAAAAUACAGUUUUAAGAAAGUGCUGUGCGAUGUGAUGCAAUGAAAAACACAAUAUGAAUUUGGAGAAGGAAAGGAUCACCAGAGGUCAGAAGGGUCUAAGGGAGAGUUCAUGAAAGAGAUUCUGCCAUCCCAAGUCGUGGUUUGAGUAGUGACCGUGGUUUCCAUCUCUGUGCCGAGUGCCGUCCAGAGCUGGGAUGUGAGCAGUUAAGAUGCUCUCAGUGACGGGGAUACAGAUGCCUGGAGAUGGUCAGAAAUGAGAACAUGAGAACUCCAUGAAGAUGUGUGUGUCGUGUGUGUGUGCGCGGGUGGAACACACCGACAUGGAACCCACCGACACAGAGGCUCGACUGUACUAGGCCAUUUCACCUAAGGGACUUGAGCAUCCUUGAAUUUUGGCAACAGUGGGGGUUCCUGGAACCAAUCCCCUGUGGACACCGAGGGACAACUUUAAUAUUAUGAAAUUGAAAGUGAAAUUUCUUAUUACUUGCUAAUUUUAUGCCUCAUGGUUUUCAUAUUAGGAAGGCUUGGAAGAAAUUGGGUUUCCUGGAGAGAGGGCUUCUUGCAAGUGUAUCAAGAAUACAGAUUGAAGUUUCAUGAUUAAAAAUUCUCUUUUGUUUCACAAAUGUCAUCUUAUUAGCAGAAUAAGACCAUCAAGGCAACAUUCACAUGAUACAUACAUACACACACACACACAUAAACAAUCCAUUGUUCCAACAGUUAUUUAAUUGAGCUAAUGUUUAUUGUUUUGGCUGAUUUCAUUUAGUGUAAAAUGUACAAACUUCACGCUUCUCUAAUCUCAUUCAAUUCUCUUUUACUUCUUCUAAGAAUUAGGCUAGACUAAUAGACAAAUGGCCUCUCACCAUAUUCUAAUCUGAUUUUUGAGGAAACAAUUGAUGGAAGCUGAUAAAAUUGAAAAUAUUGCUCUUUUAUAGUUGGGAAGAUGGAAAAAAGCACAGCAAAAUAUAGCCCUCAAUAUUCAUUUGCAGUGAAAAAAAAAACUCAAUUUCUGUUUAAGAAAGAACUACUUUAAGUCCUGUGUAAAUAUUGCUUGAGAAUAUAAAAUGUACCAUUUAAAUUUACAAUCAUAAAUAAGAAAGCAGGCAGCAUUUUAUCCUCUAGGUGUGCUGGGAGGAGAAGCAAACAUUUGAGAUGAAGCACGGUCCCAAAAGAUCACCCAGAAGGUUGGAGCAAGAGGUUUACGCAAUAGCAACAGCCACAGAGAUUGAAUCGAAACCUAAGAAACCUUUUGAUUAAAAAAAGUAGGGCGAAGAGGUGGUUCACAGCUCUAACACAGAACUCUGCCUAAGUAACUCAAUCUGUUUCUGCCUUUGCCAUUUGGAGGAAAAUAAACAGUAAGUCCAUGAAGAGUCAUGGACUAGAAUCAUUAUAUUACACACUCCUGAGAUAUAGAGGGACAAGAGGCAAGUUAUAUGUGCAACAGGAUGAAGCACUUCAACUCCUGAACUUUGACUCCUUUUUUUGUUGUUGUUCGGUAUGUGGGCCUCUCACUGCUGUGGCCUCUCCCAUUGCGGAGCACAGGCUCCGGAUGCACAGGCUCAGUGGCCAUGGCUCACGGGCCCAGCCACUCCACGGCAUGUGGGAUCUUCCCGGACCGGGGCACGAACCCGUGUCCCCUGCAUCGGCAGGCGGACUCUCAACCACUGCGCCACCAGGGAAGCCCCCAACUCCUGAACUUUGGAUGAGUUACUAAGAGAUAAGUUUGUGUAAGUUACUAAGCUUGUCUGUUAGUUACCAAGAGAAAGGAAUAGGAGUUAUCUCAUAUAAUCAGUUAUUUUACCAUCCUUAUUCUUUCCCAUUUUCCAGUUUGAUUCCUUCCCUAGGUAUUUUAAGCUGAUAUUUAUAUAACCUGUAAAAUAGGUAGGGACCUAUGCUACAUGCCUUUGUUUCAUUUUUAUUUAUUUGGAAUGUUCAGUUGAUAAGGCAGAUCUCACAUAGGAGUUCUUCAUGCAAAGAGCACUCUGAGUACACCUAUGUUGUCAUUUCUGGGUUCCAAAGAUCCGGACAAUGUUUGAGAGAGUUUGAAUCAGUCUCAGAGUCUCUAACAUAAUCAUAGGUUUAAAGCAUCCAGGGGAAUUAUUGCCUGACUUCCUGACAGAUGAAAUUACAAUAUCCAAGGCUACUCAUUUAUUUCAGGUAUUCACAAGACGAUUGGGUUGAAAAGUCCCAACCUGGAGAGUAUUUUUAUUUUUAGUGUCAGAUAAUAGCAAUUAUAUGACCAUAUGUUGUUUAUUAAAAUAAAACAUUCUUCCAAAAAAUAGUCAAUAUCUUGAUACACAUGUGGUCUUACUUCUCAGCCUCCUGCCCCCAUGAACAAAUUUAAAUUCUUAUUGUGUAGAAGGAGGAAGGGACGGUCAGGACAUAAGGACAAAGAAAAUUUACUUCUCGUGAACAAUAUGGCAUAGAGAAAGACAUCACUCAUUGGCUUAUAAUCUACUUCUAUCAAAAAAUUCUAUUUAAAUGCUUUGCUAGAGGAUUGGAAAGGAAGGAAAUUAUGAGCCAGAUGACAGAUACGUUGGUUUGUGUGACCUUGGUAUUCAAAUCUCAGCCUCAGAAAUGUGGUUCAUUUAGGAUGACAUAUUCAAUGUGUUAAUAAUCUCAAAGAAAACACAUAGAAGACAUCGGUCCCCCACACCACCCACAUCUCUGUAUAUCUGCUUGCUGUGGUGACCAGGACACUCUCAAAAGGGUAAGAGAGGUCAGAUGAUUUGUUACUAGAUGAAAAAAAUGAAAUCAUGUCUCAGGGCUUAAGUCACUUCAUCCCAUUGGUCCCUCCAGACCCUGUAAAGAGUAUGCUCCUCUGUAUUUCUGCUACUCCUUUUCUUGGCCCUUGUUCAUUACUAAGGAUCCCCAGAUGUACUGGCAUUGGACCCUUUUUAACACCUCUGUGUCUGGCCUCACAUUCCAGCAGAAUUUUCAGCAAAUAUGGGGCUUUAAAAUGUGAGAUGUGGGAGGGAGAGUAGGAAAGAGAAGUGGAGUGCAGCUAAGAAAGCAAGGAUCACCCCAGGGAUUGGGGUAGAUAUGUCCUGCCUCAACACAACUCAAGUGCUAUUUUGGUCAAAAGGAAGUCUAGGCAAACAAAUCAAACAAAAUUCAUCAGCCAAGUUGUUAAUAAAGUUUUUAAUACAACUUUACUAGAGCCAAUCUGAAAUCCUAUACUUUUUUCAAUUUUU